CACAGCUUUGCCAAAUGAAUGCUUCCUCCUGCACGUACAUGUUCACAGCAGAGCAGCUGGACAGGGGCUGAACCACUCAUCACAUUUCUGAUGCAGGCAGACUGAGUGCACUCAGAGCAAGAGAGUCGAUGAGAAAAACCAGAACCCGGAGUGUUAUUUUCAAUGGGAAAACAAUAGGAGGGAAGUUAGGUAAAUGAAAAGGAGGAAGGAUGGACUGAGGAAAGGGAAAAGACAACACAAGCAAGAGGAGAAAGAAAUAUCUCUCUAGUGGUCACCAACCCCAAAGUCACACCUGACCGCCUGGUGAACUGGCAAAAGUUGGCACAACUGAGCUGGUUGCUCUCCUGUUCUCCUUCCUGCAGAAUAAGCAUUCAGUGGUUCCACAGGCCAGUGGUUUUUAAAGAAUAAGCAUUGUGU